AAUCGCUAGUAAUCGUGGAUCAGAAUGCCACGGUGAAUACGUUCCCGGGCCUUGUACACACCGCCCGUCACACCAUGGGAGUGGGCUGCACCAGAAGUGGUUAGUUUAACCUUCGGGAGAACGAUCACCACGGUGUGGUUCAUGACUGGGGUGAAGUCGUAACAAGGUAGCCGUAGGGGAACCUGCGGCUGGAUCACCUCCUUACAUUA
rnacentral:rRNA from 2 species